AUUGAACGCUGGCGGCAGGCCUAACACAUGCAAGUCGAACGAGUGGCGGACGGGUGAGUAAUGUCUGGGAAACUGCCCGAUGGAGGGGGAUAACUACUGGAAACGGUAGCUAAUACCGCAUACCAUCGGAUGUGCCCAGAUGGGAUUAGCUAGUAGGUGGGGUAACGGCUCACCUAGGCGACGAUCCCUAGCUGGUCUGAGAGGAUGACCAGCCGCACUGGAACUGAGACACGGACCAGACUCCUACGGGAGGCAGCAGUGGGGAAUAUUGCACAAUGGGCGCAAGCCUGAUGCAGCCAUGCCGCGUGUAUGAAGAAGGCCCUAGGGUUGUAAAGUACUUUCAGCGAGGAGGCGUUACCCGCAGAAGAAGCACCGGCUAACUCCGUGCCAGCAGCCGCGGUAAUUC
rnacentral:rRNA from 1 species